rnacentral:rRNA from 1 species
UACGAAGGGGGCAAGCGUUGUUCGGAAUUAUUGGGCGUAAAGGGCUCGUAGGCGGCCAACUAAGUCGGAUGUGAAAUCCCCAGGCUUAACCUGGGAACUGCAUCCGAUACUGGAUGGCUUGAAUCCGGGAGAGGGAUGCGGAAUUCCAGGUGUAGCGGUGAAAUGCGUAGAUAUCUGGAGGAACACCGGUGGCGAAGGCGGCAUCCUGGACCGGCAUUGACGCUGAGGAGCGAAAGCCAGGGGAGCAAACGGG